CUCAUCACCACCUGCGUUAUUUUCUUGAUAUUUGUGGUUGUUAACAUCUUCUUAUCGGGCAUGCUGACUGUAUUCUCUAAGGAACGCCAGUGUCCAACACCAUACGAAGAGAGGGAAAUUGUGGAGCUGCUUUGGUUGAAACUGUCCACUUUGUUUGGAAUCCGAAAGAAAUCUGAGCAAGAAAAUGCUUAAGACACUGCAUAUGCAUGCUAAAGUAGGAAGUGGAGCCAAGUAACUGUACUGAGAUUUUAGUCUAACAAUGUAUUAAAUAAAGCUUAGAAAAUCUAA